rnacentral:rRNA from 1 species
AGCGAAGCGUUAAGCAUCCCACCUGGGGAGUACGCCGCAACGUGAACUCAAGGAAUUGACGGGGGCCCGCACAAGCGGAGGACAUGUGUUAUUCGAUGAUACGCGAGGAACCUUACCCGGGCUUGAACUGCCGGUGAACGAUACAGAGAUGUUGAGUCCUUCGGGACGCCGGUGGAGGUGCUGCAUGGUUGUCGUCAGCUCGUGCCGUGAGGUGUCGGCUUAAGUGCCAUAACGAGCGCAACCCCUCUCCGUAGUUGCCAUCGGGUGAUGCCGGGCACUCUGCGGACACUGCCACCGUAAGGUGCGAGGAAGGUGGGGAUGACGUCAAAUCAGCACGGCCCUUACGUCCGGGGCUACACACGUGUUACAAUGGGUGGUACAGAGAGCCGGGAGUACGCAAGUGCCCCCUAAUCAUGAAAUCCAUCCUCAGUUCGGACUGGGGUCUGCAACCCGACCCCACGAAGCUGGAUUCGCUAGUAAUCGCGCAUCAGCCAUGGCGCGGUGAAUACGUUCCCGGGCCUUGUACACACCGCCCGUCAAGCCAUGAAAGCCUGGGGCGCCUGAAGUCCGUGACCGCGAGGGUCGGCCUAGGGUGAAACAGGUGAUUGGGGCU